AAUGCCCUCUAUUCUAAGCGCAAGAAGCAAGAGUUUUCUGAGGACAAAUCUCCCUCCGGAGGUGGGAGAGGAGAACAAGGACCCUCCUCAGUGACCCUCGUAAACCAUUUGGAUGUGAUGCUCUCCGUAUCUCUUGGCAAGUCAAGUCACGUGGCCCAUUCUAACAGCACGGCUAUCAGGGAGAAGCUCUGUAUGCUGAUGUGAUGCUUCCCACAUUUACAGACAGAAGACUGAGGCUCCAAAGCGUCUGGAAGAUGCUCACACAGCCCGGCAUGGCCUCCCUGUCUUCAGAGUCCUCGGAAGACCUUUGUGCCUCCCCUUCCUCUCACCCCUGGACACUCUGCAUGUCUAAAGCAUACUGAAUCUUUCCGGUGACUGCGUGGGUACAUGUGUGUUCAUGCGGCUGUGUGGGUGUCUUGCAUGCGUGUGUAUACACACGUGUUGUGAAAUACUACUUUAAGAUGUGUUACACUUGUCUGUGCUGUGGAAUAUUUGUUUAAUGGUGCAAAGAUGUAUUGUAUCCUUCCAUGUUUCAUUCUGUGAAGCUGUGUUACUGUGCCUGUCUAAUAAAGAGCUGAACGGCAAAUAGCAAGGCAGGAGAGAGGGGUAGGCGGGGCUGGUGAGCAGAGGGAAUAAGUACGAGGAGAAAUCUGGGAAGAGGGAGAUUGAGGAGUGAGAGAAGGAGGAGGGUUGAGCAGGGCAGCCACACAGCCAGACACGGAGUAAGAAGGAAAGAAAAUGUACACAGGAAUAAAGAAAGAUAAAAGCCCAGAGGCAAAAGACAGGUAGACUAGAUAAUUUAAGGAAAGACAGCUAGAACUAAGACAAACUAAGACUGGGCAUUCAUUAGUAAUAAUAAGCCUCCUUGUGUGAUUUACUUGGGAGCUGGGUGGCAGGGCCCUCAAAGAGCCAAAAGAAUGAAAGCAACCAACAAUGCAUGUGUGUGGAGAUCCCAGGUCAACCUCGGGAGUUGUUCUCAGGGGUCACCCACUGUGUUUUUUGAGACAACUCCUACCACAUUGGUCUAGAGCUCACUAAUUAAACUAGGGUGGCUGGGACUGUACUUACCAUGCCUGGAUUUCCUUUUCCUUUCUUCUUUUUUUUUUGCAGUGAUUCUAGGAGUUGAACUCAGGGCCUCACGCUUGCAAGGCGUGUACUUUGCCAACUAAACUGUCUCCCUAGCCCACGGAUCACUUCUGAGCCUGUUUCUGCCUUUGGCUGUGAUCUGUAGACCUGUGGUAAGAUGAGUGAUAUCUGCUAGCAGGCCAGCUGCAAGGGACAUGGGGAUGAUGGGUUGAAGACAUUGCCUAAGUAAGUCCUCUAGUGAGUAACCUAGAAAGGGCAAGAAGCUGAACUCUGAGCUGUGUAGGAUUUAUUUAUCCACCCCUAGGGUCAGUGCCAUUUUUUACUGCAUGCUGAUAAAUGCCUGGGCUAGAAAUUCUAGCUUCCCUCUCUUGGUAAUAAAAUGGAGACUCAAUUUCGAAAGGCCACAAAGAGAACGAAAUGGAAUAUUCCCCUCCACCCCUCAUCUGCAAUUUUGGUUUCCAAGACAGGGUCAUGACCUCUUCCUCAUCAAUGCUGAGGCUGCCUUACCCUCAAGACAGUAUCUCUUCCUGGGGCCAACUUCCCCUUGUGCCUGGGUUCCUGCUUUGGACUAUGCCACAGUGUCACUGUGUCCCCUCCAAAAUUCAUCUUGAGAUUUAAUUCCCACUGUAGAGGCAAUGAGAGAUGAGUGAUUUAGGAGGUGAGUGGUCCCCAGGGGCUGCCUGUACUAAUGGAUCUGUGGACUGUGGAAGGGCUUGUGGGGGAGGGGAGGCGGGGCCGGUGAAUUAGCCUCCUCUGCUCUUGCCACAGGGGACUUGGGAGCAAGGUGCUCUCUUGGACACAGAUGUCAGACAUUCAGCCUGCCUUGGUUGUGGAGUUCCCAGCCUCCAGAACGGUGAGAAAUAAAUGUCUAUUGCUUAUCAAUUACCCAGUGUCAUGAAUUUUUGAAGAAACAGCACAAAUGGGCGGAGGCAAACUAACAGUGGAUAACUAACUCAUCAGAAAAUGGACCACUUCCCGUGUUGAAACGCAACAGAGAAGUCCCCUCCCCACCGCACCACAACCCUCAGUUCCCUUCUUUGACUCAGCCCCGCUGCUUCCUCUUAGCUGACAGACACCCUGUCAGCGCCAUGUGUGCCCAGUUGUUCACUAUGGGCUAAAGAAUCAUUCCAGAAGAACUUUCUCAUCCUGGAAGUCCCUCUCCAGUUUCUCAGGUUAAUUCUCAUCUAGACUUCCCCUUGAACCAUUUCCCUUGUACAUUGUGGGAGGAAACAACAGGAGAUCAGCCUGAAAUCCUUUCUUCCUACUGUGACUGCCUUGGUAUCCAUUAAGAGACCUAACAGAGACAGAGCUGAAGACUGAUGACAACAAUUUCCAGAAAUGCUUCCUGUGGCUUAGAAGGAAAUCACUCAAAUUUAUGAUGUGAGC